GGGGGCAUAGCUCAGUUGGGAGAGCAGCAGACUGAAGAAAAUCGAGCCAUUCUGAAGGUCCCGCGUUCAAUCCGCGGUGCCCCCA